rfam:Felis catus isolate Cinnamon breed Abyssinian chromosome B4, whole genome shotgun sequence.
GCCUGGGUGGCUCAGUCGGUUAAGCAUCCAACUUCGGCUUGGGUCGUGAUCUCGCAGUUCGUGGGUUCGAGCCCCGCAUCGGGCU